UUUUUGUUUUUUUUUUUUUGAGAUGGAGUCUCACUCUGUCACCCAGGCUGAAGUGCAGUGGCAAAAUCUCAGCUCACUGCAACCUCCACCUCCCGAAUUCAAGCAAUCCUCCCACUUCAGUCUCCUGAGUAGCUAGGAUUACAGGAGUGUGCCACCAUGACAGCUAUUUUUUAUUUUUAAUAGAGACAGGGUUUCUCCAUGUUAGCCAGGUUGGUCUCAAACUCCUGAUCUCAAGUGAUCCACCCACCUCAGCCUCCCAAAGUGCUGGGAUUACAGACGUGAGCCACUGUGCUGGGCCUGAGUUCUAGUAAAACCAAUUCAGGACUGACCCCUAGGGCCCAGUGGGAAUCCCUUCUUGCUCUGGCAGCUCUCCUCUCCCAUUAUCUACAGUUCACCUCUCUCCUUAGCUAUAGUUUUUGCCAAUCUUGGGGCUCCAAAGUCCCUCUUUCUUUCGCCUCUCCUGGUGCUACUUCCCUGUGCAAAGCAGUGCUUCCAGAGAUCAUAAGCCCCAUGAGGGCAGGAACAGCGCUUGUGUUAUCCACUGCUGCAUUCCCAGCACCCCUGAAUUGUGCUGAGCACAGAGUUGGCACUCAAAUAUUCAUUCAGUGAGAAAACUUCCUGAAGCCACUAGGAGGGUAACCAGUCACCUUUCCAGGUGCUUAAGUACUUGAACCUACUAGAAAGAAUUUGUGGCCUAACUUCAUUGAGAUAAAUAUUAUUAUGCCCAUUUCACAAAUGGACAGCUGAGUUAGUUCAAAUAAUCUAAGAUCAUAACUACUCUACUAAAAUGGUCUGACCCUUGGUUAGAAAUAUUUUUUAAAGCCAAGAAGUAGGAGCUAUUGAAAAAUCCAGCAUACAAAGAGAACAUUACCCAUGUUAUUUAACAUUUAUUGAAGAUAUGAUGGAUUUAACUAAUGCAGAACAGCCUUCCUGGAUAAAUCCAACAAUAAAUAUUUUGGUUUCCCGAAAACAAAACAAAAAACAAGCAAAAUAACUCAUCUUGGCUUGAAUUAUAGGAAAUUCUUUGCUGGCAGCUCGGCCCAAGCUGAUUGCAUAUGUGCUUUUAGGAUAGGACUAGAGAUUGCAUGUGUUCUGCACAGCAACCAGGGACACUUAACAUUCAUGAAGUAAUAAUGAAACGGGAGGCCUGGAUUUUUGUUUGUUUCUCCUAAGUCUCUUCCUCGCUUAAGUGACUUUGGACAAAUCCAUUUCUUUCCUCAUAUCUGAUUUCCACGUAUCUGUUUUGGGAUAAUGUUUAUGACUAAGAUGCUUUGUGAAAUCUUCAGAUUACAAAUCGUUACUGCCCUUCAUUUAUGAAAUUUUCCUCCUUCACUACCCUAGGGGAUAUUUGCAUGACCCUUCUAUUGAAAACCUUCACACACAGUUGUGAAGCGUCAAUACCAUCUAGGGACGGUUCACAGGUUCCAAAGCCAAUCAACUGACAAGUCAUAAGGAUAACUUGGGCCAUGAAAAGUCCGUUUCCUACGCUACUGAGAA
rnacentral:lncRNA from 1 species